CCUACGGGAGGCAGCAGUGGGGAAUAUUGGACAAUGGGCGCAAGCCUGAUCCAGCCAUGCCGCGUGAGUGAUGAAGGCCUUAGGGUUGUAAAGCUCUUUCACCGGAGAAGAUAAUGACGGUAUCCGGAGAAGAAGCCCCGGCUAACUUCGUGCCAGCAGCCGCGGUAA
rnacentral:rRNA from 1 species